AUAGCGUAUAUUAAAGUUGUUGCAGUUAAAAAGCUCGUAGUUGAAUUUCGGGUUUGAUUAGGUGGUCUUUACGUAUGUAAUGUACUACUUUGAUCGAAUCUUUCCUUCUAGCGAACUAUAGUGUUAUUAAUUUAAUGCUAUAGGGAACUAGGACUUUUACUUUGAAAAAAUUAGAGUGUUUAAAGCAGGCUUACGCUUGAAUACAUUAGCAUGGAAUAAUAGAAUAGGACUUUGGUUCUAUUUUGUUGGUUUCUAGGACCGAAGUAAUGAUUAAUAGGGAUAGUUGGGGGCAUUAGUAUUUAAUUGUCAGAGGUGAAAUUCUUGGAUUUAUUAAAGACUAACUUCUG
rnacentral:rRNA from 1 species